rnacentral:rRNA from 1 species
UACAGAGGUGGCAAGCGUUGUUCGGAAUUACUGGGCGUAAAGGGCUCGUAGGCGGCCAACUAAGUCAGACGUGAAAUCCCUCAGCUUAACUGGGGAACUGCGUCUGAUACUGGAUGGCUUGAAUCCGGGAGAGGGAUGCAGAAUUCCAGGUGUAGCGGUGAAAUGCGUAGAUAUCUGGAGGAAUACCGGUGGCGAAGGCGGCAUCCUGGACCGGCAUUGACGCUGAGGAGCGAAAGCCAGGGGAGCAAAGCGGG